AAAAAGGGGGAGGGCCGGUUGGUAGGUCAACUUGGAGUAAUACUUUGAAAAAGUAUAUUAACUUAUCAUACAUGCAUGUAUGAAGUUCAAUCAGUAGGCCCCUUUUUCCAUAUACAUACAUACUCCUCUGAUUAUAUAAGUGUUGUACUGCAUAAAUCCAUGAUUUGAAAAAUAUCAGGACGAUGUCAGAAGAUCUCAGAAAUACAACCCGAUAGUUUGGGACAAUCAUUUGAUAUUUUCAAUGGGCGGAAGGAUAGGAGGAUAAUCUGAUAUUGAAACAAUACAUGCACUAACUGUUCAAAGACAUUUUUGUUUGAUAUUUAAUUUAUAUGAAGGAUAUCUUGGUGUGGCGUAGGUAUGAAGUUAGGGGACAGCACUCGUCUGUUUAUAAGGAUUUAUCGUUGUAGUAAACGCAUCAACCUGGAAGUUUCCGAAUGAUACGUUGCUUUCGCCGGGAAAUUUGAAUAUUCUGACACGAAUGCAACUGAAACUGCGUAAGGGUUCUGUUAAUCCACAAAUCAAAAUAUGCAUGUGAUAGAAGAAUAAUUUCGGAAGAAAAUGAGGGC
rnacentral:lncRNA from 1 species